AGUAGGUCAGGCCUGGCCAACUCGCGGCUCCCGAGCCGCAUGUGGCUCUUUCCCCAGAUGAUUGUUUAUAUCGGAAAUAAGACGAAAAAUGGCGUGAAGAUGAAACGCUCCAGUCUGCAGCAUCACUGACACACACAGACCGGGGCCACGUUAUUGGUGGCAUGAGCCACGUCAAAUGGUGCACACAUGGCUAUCUACGCCGCUUGAUAUUUCCAGGAGGAUCACGGUAAAAUGAACGAAUUAUAAGAAAUGCAUGCUCAAGAGACCUACGCUCGGCGUGAACCAGCAACCUUAACCAACCAUGACAACCGCUAAGUCACAUGACCAGCUGUUCAGAUUCACCCCGCUCCGUGUGUUGUUCCCGGUCCGCCUUUUGGUUCCUGGCGUCCUUAGUUUCCGAGUUAUUUGUCUGUAUUCAUUUGUUCAUUCCAACAAAUCUUUAUAAUUUAACCUCGUCUCCCGCGCCUUCUGCCGACCAACACUUGGGUCCAUCAUCCAGAAUUAUGACAUUAAUUGAUGUAUCUUCAUCUGUUUUCUUGUACUGUUUUCAUGCUUCAA